rnacentral:rRNA from 1 species
GACGAACGCUGGCGGCGUGCUUAACACAUGCAAGUCGAACGAUGAACCCGGAGCUUGCUCCGGCGGAUUAGUGGCGAACGGGUGAGCAACACGUGAGUAACCUGCCCUUGACUCUGGGAUAACUGCUAGAAAUGGUAGCUAAUGCCGGAUACGACCCUCGGUGGCAUCACCAGGGGGUGGAAAGAAUUUCGGUCAAGGAUGGACUCGCGGCCUAUCAGCUAGUUGGUGAGGUAACGGCUCACCAAGGCGACGACGGGUAGCCGGCCUGAGAGGGUGAGCGGCCACACUGGGACUGAGACACGGCCCAGACUCCUACGGGGGGCAGCAGUGGGGAAUAUUGCACAAUGGGCGCAAGCCUGAUGCAGCAACGCCGCGUGAGGGAUGACGGCCUUCGGGUUGUAAACCUCUUUUAGUAGGGAAGAAGCGAAAGUGACGGUACCUGCAGAAAAAGCACCGGCUAACUACGUGCCAGCAGCCGCCGUAA